UACGUAGGGGGCAAGCGUUGUCCGGAUUUAUUGGGCGUAAAGAGCGUGUAGGCGGCCAAGCAGGUCCGCUGUGAAAACUCGAGGCUCAACCUCGAGACGUCGGUGGAAACCGUUUGGCUAGAGUCCGGAAGAGGAGAGUGGAAUUCCCGGUGUAGCGGUGAAAUGCGCAGAUAUCGGGAAGAACACCCGUGGCGAAGGCGGCUCUCUGGGACGGUACUGACGCUGAGACGCGAAAGCGUGGGGAGCGAACAGGA
rnacentral:rRNA from 1 species